rnacentral:rRNA from 1 species
AGUGAACGCUGGCGGCGUGGAUUAGGCAUGCAAGUCGAGCGAUCUCGCAAGAGAUAGCGGCAAACGGGUGAGGAAUACAUAGGCAAUCUUCCCCUAAAUUAAGAAUAGCCCUAUGAAAGUAGGGGUAAUACUUGAUGGCAUCACAGGAACGCAUGUUCUCGUGAUUAAAGACAGGGACCGUAAGGCCUGUCGUUUAGGGAUGAGCCGAUGUCUUAUCAGCUAGUUGGUGGGUAACGGCCCACCAAGGCUAAGACAAGUAGCUGGUCUGAGAGGAUGGUCAGCCACACUGGGACUGAGACACUGCCCAGACUCCUACGGAGGCUGCAGUCGA